rnacentral:lncRNA from 1 species
AGCGUGGUAUGAUCGACUUAUAUUAAACAGUUUACGCGUAAACUUGUAGGAAAUGAUAAAACAUAGCCUAUAAUAGUAUACAAAUUAUUGUUUAGUUAUUAGCCAACUUAUUUCAGUCGUUAUUCAACAUUAAUUUAAAUAAAUAAAUGUCUCUCGUCCGACCGUCUGUCCAAUUCUCUAAGCUGGUUAAUGAAAUUUCUUGCCCCACUUAGGGUAACGUUAGGCAGGAAUGAUUAAUAUUACUUGAUAAAUAAGUAAAAAUUAAGUUAAUCUUUUUUUUCGGCAAAAUAACAAAAAAUACACCAGAAGCAGUCAACAAUCCAAUAUCUGGAUGAUAAUGUUACGAAUAAA